CUUUUAAAUUUUGCCGUAGCAGAUAGUUGAUACUUAAUGCUAUCUUUUGCGGUGAAAUUUGAAAG
rnacentral:pre_miRNA from 13 species